rnacentral:lncRNA from 10 species
GAAAAAUUGUACCAAAAGUACAGACUUCGCCAUCAUCUACUUUUGAAUGCUGGUGAUCAAUACCAACCCUAGUGGGUUCUUAUAAGAAUUAAAAGGAAUAAUAUUUGCAAAGUGCCUGGGACAAAAACUGGUUCAAAACAGCCUCAAAAGCCCUGUUCCUCUUUUUUUUUUUUGCAGCCACUGGUGCUGUGGGAAGGUAGGCUGAUCACAUCUUAUGCUGCCCCAGGUCUAAUGGACACUGAUAUGGUCAUUGCCAGUCACCUGGGAAGCCGGUGAGGAAGAUGGCACACCCUCAGCUUUCCGUGCACCCUAAAUGGGAAUAAGGCUCCACCAGAUUGGAGAGACGGCCCCUCUGUGGACUCGCAGCAACUGUGUAUAAUUUGACGGAGUACCCAAAGCCCACAGAACCUCCUCCAGCUCGGCUCCUCCAUCUACUCUGAGCUUCUCGAUCACAUGCAACAAGACAGAACCUCCUCGGAUCCCCUUCAGAUGAAUGGGGGCUCCAGAAUCCUUCACUGCAGAGCCAUGUGCUCCAGAAGUGCUGGCUGCUGUGCUGCAGACACCUAGGGCAUGGAAACAGGAAACGACCCUGCCACUCACUGAGGAGGAGGCUGAUGAAUACCAGGAGCACAGCUGCCCGGCAGAAGGACCGGUUCUUGGAGCAGGGCCCCAUGGCAGGCUGCCUGAUGGCCUGUUCAGCUGCAGCGGAAACAGAAGAGGGGAAGAGGUAAGAAAAGAGGACAAGCUUGAUCAAGGAGCCCUUCACACUCUUCCCCACUUCAAGGGCAGGGCCAGCAAGUUACUACUGGGAGACAGCCCACCAGUCUAGAGAAAGCCAUUCAGCUCUUUCAUCCCCUCUCAGCCCUUACAGUACCGCACGUGGUUGAUAAGUAAUUGCGGAAGAAAUAAAGGUACAACCUCAUUCUGUGAUGUUCCUGGCAGUGUAUUAGACAGGCGCCCUUCUCUCAGGCACAGCCAGUUUGCUGUUUUCUCACACCCUCCCCUGACACUUACCUGCUUCCCUGGGUUCACAGCUCUGCCCCAGGUGGCCCUGGUCACCAGUGUCAGCCUAUCGUCAGGCACAGAUGUCACCCUCUUACAGCAAGGCUGGGCUAUGCCCUUCCGGAACUUGGUGACUUUCCUUUGUUCCUACCUCAUAUAAUAAGUUAAAUUUCUUUUUUCGUUUUCCAAAAACUUCACCUCUCAGAUGCCUAAGUAAGAAGCUGUAAGCAAAAGAACAAAUCUCCUGUAGAGAUUGUUAACUCCCCACAUCUUCAACGCAAAUAUCAGCAUUUACUUGUUGCAGGCGGCUAUAUGGUUUCUCAGCUCCCACUAGUGGUCAUCACCUCUCUAUACACUCAGGGUAAGGAGAACCCCCUACAGAAGGUGACAGGCUCUUGAGAAGUUCACACUCCCUCUGCCACAGCCUCAGCAGCCUGAAACUCACCACCACCUGCUGAGGCUCAGGUCGUGUCCUCUUCACUCCGGAUCUGAAUACCCCAGGGCAUUUAAGAACUCUCCCUCCCAUUACCCUGAGGGAGGAGCACCAUCUUCUUAACCCCAAGGCACUGGCUCCUCCUCAAGUAGUCUCCCCUGACAGCUGCCCAAACAGAACACCUCCAAGGCUGGAGCUGCAGGCCUGACCCCAUGACCACCUCAAGGUAGUCAGGUUCCUGGGUAUUCAACCCAUUUAAUGGCUGUGAAACCCAAACCUCAGAGGUAUUAGGGAAGCUGUGAAAGUUCAUACAGCUAAUCAAGCACAGGGUCUGGACUCCUGACCACAAGCUCAGGACUCAUCACUGAUAUCACAGCCACUCUCCCAUCCCAUUGUGUGACCCCAAGCACGUCACCUUGAGUGCAC